rnacentral:sRNA from 1 species
AUGGAUGUGAUUGCAGACACCUUGGUACUUUUGGGAAAAUUUCUAUAUUACUUUUUGGAAUCUUUGGUUUACAAGAUAAUUCCCAAGAAGAAAAAGAAUGUUGCUGGAGAGAUUGUACUUGUAACGGGAGCUGGAAGUGGACUUGGGAGGCAAUUGGCUAUACAUUUUGCCAGGUUUGGAGCCAUUUUAGUUCUAUGGGAUGUUAAUCAAGAAGGCAAUAUGGAAACUUGUCGACUGGUCAAAGAAAAGGGUGGUAAGAAAGUGUUUCCCUACACGUGUGACUGUAGAAACAGACAAGAGGUCUACAGAGUUGCUGAUCAGGUCAGGAAAGAAGUUGGUGACGUGACCAUCCUCGUUAACAAUGCUGACUUAGUCACGGGAAAGCCCUUCCUCGAUAUUCCAGAUCACAUGGUGGAAAAAUCCUUUCUUGUAAAUGCCAUCUCUCAUUUCUGGACUUGUAAGGCCUUCCUUCCUGCCAUGAUUAAAGCUAACCAUGGUCACCUGGUUUGUAUUUCAAGUAUAGCAGGAGUAGUUGGUAUUAAUGGACUAUCAGAUUAUUCUGCAAGUAAAUUUGCAGGCUUUGGCUUUGCUGAAUCUCUCUUUUUUGAAUUAACUACGAUAAAGAAAACUGAAGUUAAAACCACCAUCGUGUGCCCACAUUUCAUCAACACUGGAAUGUUUGAGGGCUGUACAAGCAAGUAUCCGUUUCUGUUACCAAUUCUGGAGCAGGAGUAUGUGGCCAAAAAAAUUUUAAAUGCUAUUUUAGAGGAACAAGUUUAUUUAAUGAUAUCCAAAUUUGCAUAUAUCGGAUUGAUUCUUAAACAAAUAAUAUCUCCAAAAAUGUUGAUUGCCUUUGGUGAGUACCUUGGAAUGGACACUUGCAUGGCUUCUUUCAAAGGGAGAAAGAAAGCAAAUGAACUUCAGACUGAAACUGAAGGGAAACACCAGUAGCUCA